UUUGAUUUUUCUUUUUGUUGCUUCUCUCGUUAACACGUCCCUGAGAAUUAUAAUACUUGAUAUAUUUUCUCCCAGGAAAAUGGCGCUUCCUUUCCUGGAAAUGAGAAUAUUUUAUCCAACUCAACGUCACAGUGAUGAACAUCAGGUAAUGCAAGAGAAAGCCAAGCAUGCAUCUGAAAAAUAUUGAAGCAUAUUUAAAGAUUGAUAAA